CGGCCUCCAUUGCUUUGUGUACAUUCCAUUCAGCGUCAUCAAUCUUGUGGCAGGCAAUACAGGUCAAGCAAAUCGUAUUUUUAGGAAUUUUAAAAUGACAUGCUCCUUACGUCUUUCGCGAUUUUCCCGCGAAAAAAGCCCAACCAAAAUGAAAGGAAAACUAAUUGAAAAAACGAUGCCCAUGCCAUAAUUUUGUACAGGAAUAUAGAGUAGGUUAAUGAAAAAUAAUUUACAUUUAUUUUUCAUAGAAUUUUCUUUUAUUCAUUAUAAAAAGAUCGAUAUUCUGACCAUCAUGAC
rnacentral:lncRNA from 1 species